rnacentral:pre_miRNA from 1 species
CAACUACCCCCUCUGUCCCAAAUUUCUUGUCUUAGAUUUGUCUAGAUACAGAUGUAUCUAAUACUAAAAUGUGACUUGAUACAUCCGUAUCUAGACAAAUCCAAGACAAGAAUUUUGGGACGGAGGAAGUACUUU